UGCAGGGGGACAGCCUGCUCCACCAGGGGCCUCUCCACAGGCCGCAGGGGAAUUGUGCUGCGUGCCUGGAGCACCUCCUGCCCUCCUGCCGCGCUCCCCUGGGGGCUGCAGGGUCUCUCACGUUUCUCUCUCCUCUCUCCCAGCUGCUGUGGUGCAGCAAUUUUUUUCCGCCCCCUUCCCUAACUCUGCUCCCCCAGCAGCACAGCCGGCAGCACUCGCGGCCCAGCCGUGGCCCUUUGGGGCAGCCGGAGCCGGCUCUGCUCUGACACCGGGCAGCGGCUGGGCCCGGCUCACAGGGACCCCCCCCCGCAGCCCCCCACUACCAGACCUUGCCAUACAAACCCAAUCCCCCCCCUUGGGCCCGCGGCUCCUGGGGCUGCCCUGUGCCUGGGCACCGGGUGCUGGUGCCCGCCACCAAGAGCAGAAGGGGACGGGGAGGUGGGGAGGUGCUGGCAGACCCGGGAGGUGGCAGGGCUGGCAGGGGGGGAGCUGGCCCGUGCCUGGCCUGGAGAGGAGCAGCCCUGCAGCCCCCCCAGCCCCUCGCUGCUGCCCUCCCGGCCGGUGGGUGGCCGCUCCUGAGCUGGGCGGCCGCAGGGGCCAAGGUCCAGGCGGGGAGCACCCGGCGGUGGCACCGGGCAGCUGAGCCGUGCCCCGCGCAGCGCCAUGAGGCUGCGGCUGCUCUGCGCCCUCGCCGUGGCCCUCCUGGCCGUGGCCGGGGCCGACCCACGGGACUCCAAGAAGGGGAAGACGCUCACGCGGGACAGAGAGGCGGGGACGCGCGGCGGGGGCCGGCGCCGGCCGUGCUCGGGGUGCUUCUCUGUGCUGAGCGAGGAGUCCACGUCCAUGGCCUGGAGCACCGGGGAUGUGGACGAAGGCCCCGCGGGCAGGCGGCGCGUCCAGGAGCGCACCAGGAGGGAAAGCGAGAGACCCGCCCAGGUGGCACGAGGCCGCGGCCACGUCCCGCAGCUCGGCCAGGAGGCACCGGGCGCCCAUGCGGCGUGGGCGGGAGAGGCACCGGUGACCCAGCGCGGACCCACGCGAGGACGGAGCCGGGGGUCCCGCCGCCCCCUGACCGCACCGCGGGGCCCCGCUGCCCCCCACCAGCCCUGAGGGGAGCUGGGGGGGCCCUGCCGUGUCCCCCCGCUCAGUGGGGCCACCCCAGCACGCUGCUGCCCCUGCACCCCAAAAUUUUCUGCAGGGGUGUCCCCACCCGCUGCGCGGAGCCACCGAAUAAAGGCACCGAGACAGCCCGAG
rnacentral:lncRNA from 1 species